UUUUUUUUUUUUUAGGUCAUGAUAUGUGGAUAUACUUUGUUUAAAUUGUAGAAGAAUCUCAGUGAGAAGGCAUUUUUCUCUCAAUUCUUCCUGGGAAUCUCUAUUUAAUAAUUAUAAAUCGGAGUCUCAUAGUUUUUACAUGUCAGGCUCUGGUACUCAUAACCUCUUUAAUCCUUAGCAGCUUUACAGAAGACAAAGUCGGUGAUCAAGAGAGCUAAAGUGACAGAGGCUGCUUUAACUGAAAUUACAGAUUUAACUAGUGACAACAAGGACAGUGAAUCCGCUCCUGCUGUUAAUUAUAUUAACUUAGACGUUGGUUUCAUUUUCAGUGAUUCUAACUGUGCAGUCAGCCAUUGGGAUCCAAGGAGGAUUGGAUCCAGGACGUUGGGAAAUCCCAUAUAUGUCAAAAUUCUUGGAGCCUCCAGUCCCUUGUAUAAAGCGUGUGUGUUAUGUAUGUUUCUGCAUGUGUCAUAUUAAAUGACUUACAGAGCUAAAGUGUACCUGUAGUGCAUACUAGCAGUAUGAGCAGUUGUACUGUGUCUUGUAGGAAAUAAGAAAAGUCUACCUUUUGUUGAGUACUGAGGUCCAUCAUAGGCCUCAACCUACAUCUCUUAAGUUGGUUAAAUGUGCACAUAACUAGAAACUGACUACUUCAGGCGAUGGGGAACAAUAAUAAGUGAAUUGAUACACGCUGCCAUGUUAGGCUUACAGCUUUAGUCCUAUAGCAAGCUGUGUGUGAAAAGAGAUUAUAGGUCCCCCAACGAAACUUGGCCUGGUUUUUAUUUUAAAAUCUUGACUGAGCUUUCAUUUUCUGAAGAAAACAAACUUGGGAGGUUCCUAACAGUCUGAAAUCCAAGACCCAAUCACUACCCAGUGUGUCUUCCAGUGAUCUAAAUAAAAUAUUACAAUUUUUUAUUAA
rnacentral:lncRNA from 1 species